rnacentral:rRNA from 1 species
UACGUAGGGUGCGAGCGUUAAUCGGAAUUACUGGGCGUAAAGAGUGUGUAGGCGGUUUCUCAAGUCCGCUGUGAAAUCCCCGGGCUCAACCUGGGAAUGGCAGUGGAAACUAGGAGACUUGAAUCUGGCAGAGGGGGGUGGAAUUCCACGUGUAGCAGUGAAAUGCGUAGAGAUGUGGAGGAACACCGAUGGCGAAGGCAGCCCCCUGGGCUGAGAUUGACGCUCAGGCACGAAAGCGUGGGGAGCAAACAGG